UCCACCGCCCCCUCCCCUCACGCUUAUCUUUUCCCCAUUCUUCACCCAGUCCUCCAAAUCCACAGCCUGGCCGCCCCUCCCCUUCCCGAUCCCCAUCCACAGCUGCCGGAGCUCUCUGCUGGCCGCACCUCUCCUUCGUCAGCAACGCCGGCGGACGCGCAUGCCCCUGCUUUGCCCCGCCCCCCCCUUCGUCAGCACCGCCGGCGGACGCGAGCGCCCCUGCUCUGCCCGCCCCUUCUUCCUAUCCGGUGCUGCUGGGACCCUCCUUCCUCCUGGUGACGGCGGGGCGCUCGAGCCGGGCAUGCUCGCGGCGACGCCGGGGCCCUCCCUCCUCGUGGCGACGGCGGGGCGCUAGAGCUGGGCAUGCUCGCCGGCGACGCCGGGGUUCGCUCGUGCUGAUGCACUCGCCGCGGCAGGAACUUCCCUCCCCCUCCACCCUGCUCAGGACGCCAUGAAGGAGCAGUUGCUGCUGGCGACCUCCAUAUUGAUUAGGAUCACCACGAUGACCUCCGCGUGCUGUGCUCGGGACCCUCCCUAUGCUUCUCGUCGCUCCUCUGGGUCCAGAAACUUCUUUUGUGAUGCAACUAAUGGGGAAAUACAAAAAUACAAAUAAUGUCGAUUACUUUGAGCCUUUUAGUUAGAAGGUAUACCAAUCUCUUUGCAGUGUGCUCUUAAUAUACUCUUCUCUUGGCCAUGCUGAGAUGUUUAAGUCUUUCUACUUAUCAGUAUUUAGUUCCAUUUGAAGCGAUGCAUAUUCGAAUACAUUUUCCAGUCCUUUGAGUUGUUGAAUGAAUAAAUGACAAAGUAUUAGCAUCACAA